AGACUGUACACUCCCCAAGAGAAGGGGUUGCCUCUGGACUGCACUCUGCAAAUCAAGAGAACUUCAACAGUGCCACCUUGUGGAUAUUCUGUAAAUACAAGAUAUGAGAUGCAACCUGAGUCCACAGAAAGGCUUGGCUGCUGGAGGUUCUGAGUUCUGGCACUGCUCAUACCAGAGAGACGGCACCACAUGGUCAAUCACCUUACUUAAACUCACUUAUAAUUCUCUCCCCCUGAACCCCUCACCCUCCUUCCCUCUCAUACAAUUAAAACCAUAUCUGUUUCCUCCUUUCUCCCUAUCAUAAAUAACUGGGCUGUAAAUUGGGUUGUAAACAUAUAUUCUAUACUAUGGCCAAUAAGAAUUUUCCAGAGUAAUCCUAGCAAUUUCAGCCUUUGCACUAACUUUUGAACCAGCCCCCACCAUCACCCACAAUUCAAUCACCACAAUAACCAAGAUGUAUGAUCUUUGUCAUUUCAUGAAAUUUCUCUGAUCCUUGGCUUCCUGGUCUAUAGAAUGAGAAAGAGGAUUAAGUGAUGGCUAAGAUCCUUCGUAGCAAUUAAAUACUACACAAUUCUAGAAAGAGAGGGUUCUUAUUUUCUUUUCUAGAAAUACUAAUGAAUGAAAUGGAGCAAACAGUGCUAUAUUUCAGCAUAAAAUAAACCAGAAGAGUCAAAAUUUCCUAAGCUAACUCUCAAAUAUCCUUACACUCCCACUGUAGAAAGUAAAUUUACACAUUUUGGAAGAAAGAUUCGAAAUUCAAAACUGGCCUUUCAAUUUGCAUGAGACCUGAGAACAGCUCCUAUUUGCCAUGAAAAUACUUAGAGCAUGGAGUCCUGGUGCACUGUAAAUCACAGACAAGCUAAGGAAGGAGCUACUCUUUGAAGAGAAGAGCUCUUCUUUGAAGAGAAGCUCUGACGGGACAGGGCUGGUGGCAAUGGCACUUUUAUUCCUGGCUAUUUCUAGGUCUACCCUGGCAUGGCAGUUAUAACCUCUAGACCACAAUGACUGUUAUUAGAAGAAACAUUCUGGCCAGCAUUCUCUUCAGAAAUCUAUCUUACCUAGCCAAAUUUAAAAUUAAAGUUAAAAUCAAAAUUAAAGUAAGAAGGAGAAGAAGGAGGAGGAGGAGGAGGAGGAG